UCUCUCUUUCUAAACCUUAAAAUCCUAACCUCCCAAACUGAUUUUUGGAGCUAUUUGGAGUAAAUUGGAGUUUGGAAAACUUCUCUAGAGGUAAGAUUAUGCCUUUUUACCAAUUGAUUUUCAAUUUGAUUGGCUUAACAUCAAUUUGGUCUAGCUUUGGUAAAAUUUUUCUCCCUUGAGUUUGCUGGGGAUUUGGAGCUAAGAUUUGGGUAACCCAACAUCUUAGGAGAAGUUGAAGAUAAUCAACUCAUUUGUGAGCUGAAAGACAGUUAGAAGCUGAGAAUUUGAGCUUGGUUGUGGGCGCACCUCCGAUUGUCAUCGGAUGGCCUCAUUUGUGGAUUCAUAUUCCAUCUAACGAUGAGAAUUCCAGACGUUGAUUCGAUUUAAGGUUGAGUGGAGUUCUACACCUUGAGACUAUGUGUGCUUGCAAGGAUAGUGGUAACCAAGGACAACGGUAUUAGUCUCGCCUAUGAUUCCCACCUGCAAUUCUUUCAAGCCAGCUAUUUGAGAUUACUUCAGAUAAAUAGGCCACAAAACUAUGUAGUAAGGGUCGUCUAUUGACAAACCAAUUUUGGCGUCCAGUAAGUCCUCAUCCUAACAUGUCCACUCUGCUGAGUCUAUCAUGAGCUUUCGCUUUUGGAGUUCAGCUUAGUUAUUUUGUAUGUUGACACGAUGUGCCAUUUGAACUCGUGUUAAGGGUUACAAAGUAUAAACCCGUUUUGCUAGCCAAAUGUAUGGCCUUAUGGAUAUUGUAUUGAAUAUUGUGUAUAAGCAAUG
rnacentral:sRNA from 1 species